CAUUAAGUGGCUGAAUGUAAGCAUUGGUCUCUUAAACCAAAAUAUAGUACCUUAACAAUGUACUCUUAAUG
rnacentral:tRNA from 1 species